CCCUUAGAUGUUCUGGGCCGCACGCGCGCUACACUGAUGCAUUCAACGAGUCUAAAACCUGCUCUGAUAGGGGUGGGUAAUCUUUUGAAUGUGCAUCGUGAUUGGGAUAGAUGAUUGCAAUUUUUCAUCUUCAACGAGGAAUGCCUAGUAAACGCAAGUCAUCAGCUUGCAUUAAUUACGUCCCUGCCCUUUGUACACACCGCCCGUCGCUCCUACCGAUUGAAUGAUCCGAUGAAUAUCAUGGAUUGAGGAUUAUAGCAGGUUCGCCUGUCUUGAUCUUCGAGAAGUGAAGUAAAUCUUAUCAUUUAGAGGAAGGAGAAGUCGUAACA
rnacentral:rRNA from 1 species